GGGGCGAAUGGAUGCUUCCCGA
rnacentral:siRNA from 1 species